AUUGAACGCUGGCGGCAGGCCUAACACAUGCAAGUCGAGCGAGCGGCGGACGGGUGGGUAAUGCCUGGGAAUUGCCCAGUCGGGGGGGAUAACAGUUGGAAACGACUGCUAAUCCCGCAUACGAUUGGAUUGCCCAGGUGGGAUUAGCUAGUUGGUGAGGUAAUGGCUCACCAAGGCGACGAUCCCUAGCUGGUCUGAGAGGAUGAUCAGCCACACUGGAACUGAGACACGGCCCAGACUCCUACGGGAGGCAGCAGUGGGGAAUAUUGCACAAUGGGGGCAACCCUGAUGCAGCCAUGCCGCGUGUGUGAAGAAGGCCUUCGGGUUGUAAAGCACUUUCAGCGGGGAGGCGUUACCCGCAGAAGAAGCACCGGCUAACUCCGUGCCAGAAGCCGCGGUAAUAC
rnacentral:rRNA from 1 species